rnacentral:rRNA from 1 species
UACGUAGGGUGCGAGCGUUAAUCGGAAUUACUGGGCGUAAAGAGUGCGUAGGCGGUUCGUUAAGUCAGCUGUGAAAGCCCCGGGCUCAACCUGGGAACUGCGGUUGAAACUGGCGAACUAGAAUCUGGCAGAGGGGGGUGGAAUUCCACGUGUAGCAGUGAAAUGCGUAGAGAUGUGGAGGAACACCGAUGGCGAAGGCAGCCCCCUGGGCUGAGAUUGACGCUCAGGCACGAAAGCGUGGGGAGCGAACAGG